rnacentral:rRNA from 1 species
GGGGGAGGCUUAAUGGCAAGUCGACGAAGCACUGAAAGCAGAUUACUNUCGGUUUGAAGCUUUCUUUGACUGAGUGGCGGACGGGUGAGUAACGCGUGGGUAACCUGCCUCAUACAGGGGGAUAACAGUUAGAAAUGACUGCUAAUACCGCAUAAGCGCACGGUUUCGCAUGGAACAGUGUGAAAAACUCCGGUGGUAUGGGAUGGACCCGCGUCUGAUUAGCUGGUUGGCGGGGUAACGGCCCACCAAGGCGACGAUCAGUAGCCGGCCUGAGAGGGUGAACGGCCACAUUGGGACUGAGACACGGCCCAAACUCCUACGGGAGGCAGCAGUGGGGAAUAUUGCACAAUGGGGGAAACCCUGAUGCAGCGACGCCGCGUGAAGGAAGAAGUAUUUCGGUAUGUAAACUUCUAUCAGCAGGGAAGAAAAUGACAGUACCUGACUAAGAAGCCCCGGCUAACUACGUGCCAGCAGCCGCGGUAAUACGUAGGGGGCAAGCGUUAUCCGGAUUUACUGGGUGUAAAGGGAGCGUAGGCGGUGCAGCAAGUCAGAAGUGAAAGCCCGGGGCUCAACUCCGGGACUGCUUUUGAAACUGUUGAACUAGAUUGCAGGAGAGGUAAGUGGAAUUCCUAGUGUAGCGGUGAAAUGCGUAGAUAUUAGGAGGAACACCAGUGGCGAAGGCGGCUUACUGGACUGUAAAUGACGCUGAGGCUCGAAAGCGUGGGGAGCAAACAGGAUUAGAUACCCUGG